rnacentral:lncRNA from 1 species
CUUUCAAAUUUGAAGUACAUCAACAAAAUGUCAACUCAUUUUCUUCUAGACCAUAACACAUGCUGCCUUCAACAUAUAAAGAAAUCUGCGGACUGAGAAAUAGUAGAGAGAAACCACAGGAGCCAAGGAUCACAGGGUUUCAUUCGUUGACCUGAAGCCAUCUGCAAAUCAGCUCAGGUGUGUAACAGCUCUGAUGGAGACAGGGAUGCUCACAUACAGACUGUGAGGCUUCUACUGUACGAAGUUUCAGACUUGCUGACUCCCAUCACAUUAAAAGACUGUUCGGCGUAUGUUGGUGAAAGGCAUGAGAAGGGUUCAUUAAGGCACAGACUUUUGGAGCACUCAAGUGCAGAGUGCCAGGCAGAGGGAACCAGGCCAAGCCUCCAGGACUAGUCCUGUGGAGGACCAUGACAGCGAUCACGCCCAGGCAGGCUGUGAAGAGUUAACCCCAUAAUCAGCCUGUUUACGGAAGUCUGGCCCAAGCCUACAAGCCCAGAUCAGAGCAACUUGCACCCAGAUUCCAUUCCCACAACUAAAACCUUCUGACUCGAAGGACAGUGUUCUAAUUACAGCCAUACAUUUUGUCUAUUCUGCUCCUAAUUUGAGAACUCUUUGUCUUGUCCUUUAUGUGCCUUGUUUACAUUGAUUUACAUAGAAACUCCACGUAGCUCACCUUUACCCCAG